rnacentral:rRNA from 1 species
AUGUUUAUCUUCAUAAAGAGAAGUGGUUUAAAUAUCAUGAACCCAUUAAAGAUACUUGUGAAGAAUAUAUUAUUGCUAAGACUAGAAUACAAGCUUAUUGUCCUAAUCCUGGUGUGCCCACUUCUUAUAUUGAAAAGCCUCAUUUUCUUGUCAGAAUUAAGUGAUAUUCUAAGGCUACAACUGUGGUUUGUAAAAGUUAUAUUAAAACACCUAAACCCCCUGAAAAAAUUAAAGUAUAACUUUCUAUUGCUAUGGUUAAAGAUCUCUUGGUUGAUUAUAUUGAUGGACAUGUUAUAUAUUUCUGUGAAGAUGUUGCUAGAAUUGCUAAACCCGCUAGAAAUGAACAAGAUAAGAUAG